CGUAGGUGGCAAGCGUUGUCCGGAUUUAUUGGGUUUAAAGGGUGCGUAGGUGGCCCUGUAAGUCAGUGGUGAAAUAUCUCAGCUUAACUGAGAGGGUGCCAUUGAUACUGCAGGGCUUGAGUACAGAUGAGGUAGGCGGAAUUGACGGUGUAGCGGUGAAAUGCAUAGAUAUCGUCAAGAACACCGAUAGCGAAGGCAGCUUACCAAGCUGUAACUGACACUGAGCACGAAAGUGUGGGGAUCAAACAGGAUUAGAUACCCUGGUAGUCCACACUGUAAACGUUGAUGACUCGAUGUUGGCGAUACACAGCCAGCGUCCAAGAGCAAUCGUUAAGUCAUCCACCUGGGGAUACGCCGGCAACGGUG
rnacentral:rRNA from 1 species